rnacentral:rRNA from 1 species
UACGAAGGUCCCGAGCGUUGUUCGGAAUCACUGGGCGUAAAGGGUGCGUAGGCGGUUUAUUAAGUCAGACGUGAAAUCCCGGGGCUCAACCCCGGAACUGCAUCCGAUACUGCCAUGCUAGAGGAUUGGAGAGGUAGCUGGAAUUCUUGGUGUAGCAGUGAAAUGCGUAGAGAUCAAGAGGAACACUCGUGGCGAAAGCGAGCUACUGGACAAUUCCUGACGCUGAGGCUCGAAGGCCAGGGUAGCGAAAGGG